rnacentral:rRNA from 1 species
GAUGAACGCUGGCGGCGUGCCUAAUACAUGCAAGUCGAGCGAACAGACGAGGAGCUUGCUCCUCUGACGUUAGCGGCGGACGGGUGAGUAACACGUGGAUAACCUACCUAUAAGACUGGGAUAACUUCGGGAAACCGGAGCUAAUACCGGAUAAUAUAUUGAACCGCAUGGUUCAAUAGUGAAAGACGGUUUUGCUGUCACUUAUAGAUGGUUCCGCGCCGCAUUAGCUAGUUGGUAAGGUAACGGCUUACCAAGGCAACGAUGCGUAGCCGACCUGAGAGGGUGAUCGGCCACACUGGAACUGAGACACGGUCCAGACUCCUACGGGAGGCAGCAGUAGGGAAUCUUCCGCAAUGGGCGAAAGCCUGACGGAGCAACGCCGCGUGAGUGAUGAAGGUCUUCGGAUCGUAAAACUCUGUUAUUAGGGAAGAACAAAUGUGUAAGUAACUAUGCGCGUCUUGACGGUACCUAAUCAGAAAGCCACGGCUAACUACGUG